rnacentral:piRNA from 1 species
UGAAGCACUUGCUUACUGGUACUUUUUACUU